rnacentral:rRNA from 1 species
CCUACGGGUGGCAGCAGUAGGGAAUCUUCCACAAUGGGCGCAAGCCUGAUGGAGCAACACCGCGUGAGUGAAGAAGGUGUUCGGCUCUGAAAGCUCUGUUGUUGGAGAAGAACGUUCGUGAGAGUAACUGUUCACGCAGUGACGGUAUCCAACCAGAAAGUCUCGGCUAACUACGUCGCAGCAGCCGCGGUAAUGCGUAGGUGGCAAGCCUUAUCCGGUUUUAUUGGGCGUAAAGCGAGUGCAGGCGGUUGCUUAGGACUGAUGUGAAAGCCUUCGGCUUAACCGAAGAAGUGCAUCGGAAACCGGGCAACUUGAGAGCAGAAGAGGACAGUGGAACUCCAGGUGUAGCGGUGGAAUGCGUAGAUAUAUGGCAGAACACCAGUGGCGAAGGCGGCUGUCUGGUCUGCAACUGACGCUGAGGCUCGAAAGCAUGGGUAGCGAACAGGAUUAGAUACCCGGGUAGUC